ensembl:snRNA U6 U6 spliceosomal RNA
GUGCUCACUUUGGCAGCACAUAGAUUAAAAUUGGAACAAUACAGAGAAGAUCAGCAUGUUCCCUGCACAAGGGUGACACACAAACUUUUGAAGCAUUCCAUAUUUUU